rnacentral:rRNA from 1 species
UACGGAGGGUGCGAGCGUUGUCCGGAAUCACUGGGCGUAAAGGGCGCGUAGGCGGCAGGCCAAGCGUGCGGUGAAAGUCCUGGGCUCAACCCCGGAUCUGCCGUGCGGACUGGUUUGCUAGAGCACUGUAGAGGCGAGUGGAAUUCCGGGUGUAGCGGUGGAAUGCGUAGAUAUCGGGAGGAACACCUGUGGCGAAAGCGGCUCACUGGACCGCAACUGACGCUGAGGCGCGAAAGCUAGGGGAGCAAACAGG